GAUGAACGCUGGCGGCGUGCCUAAUACAUGCAAGUCGAGCGAACAGAUGAGGAGCUUGCUCCUCUGACGUUAGCGACGGACGGGUGAGUAACACGUGGAUAACCUACCUAUAAGACUGGGAUAACUUCGGGAAACCGGAGCUAAUACCGGAUAAUAUAUUGAACCGCAUGGUUCAAUAGUGAAAGACGGUUUUGCUGUCACUUAUAGAUGGAUCCGCGCCGCAUUAGCUAGUUGGUAAGGUAACGGCUUACCAAGGCAACGAUGCGUAGCCGACCUGAGAGGGUGAUCGGCCACACUGGAACUGAGACACGGUCCCGACUCCUACGGGAGGCAGCAGUAGGGAAUCUUCCGCAAUGGGCGAAAGCCUGACGGAGCAACGCCGCGUGAGUGAUGAAGGUCUUCGGAUCGUAAAACUCUGUUAUUAGGGAAGAACAAAUGUGUAAGUAACUAUGCACGUCUUGACGGUACCUAAUCAGAAAGCCACGGCUAACUACGUG
rnacentral:rRNA from 1 species